AUGGAAAGUAUAGCAAGAAGGACGUCCAAAAGCAUCACUUCUUCCUCUAUAAGAUCUGCUGCGGAUGAUAUAGCUGCUCCUAGUCCGACAACUAGAGCAAGAACCAAGGAUGGCACGUGCUUUCCUAAAUCCAUUUCACCGGGUGUUCACUCAAACUCCUUAAUCAUUGAAUCUGGAUCAGAAGGUGACUCCCCUAAGGCCUAA